rnacentral:rRNA from 1 species
UACGUAGGGUGCAAGCGUUGUCCGGAAUUAUUGGGCGUAAAGAGCUUGUAGGCGGUUUGUCGCGUCUGCUGUGAAAUUUCGGGGCUCAACCCCGAACUUGCAGUGGGUACGGGCAGACUGAGAGUGUGGUGGGGGAGACUGGAAUUCCUGGUGUAGCGGUGAAAUGCGUAGAUAUCGUUUGGAACGCCAAUGGUGAAAACAGGUUGCUGGGAGUGUGCUGACGCUGAUGCGCGAAAGCCAGGGGAGCGAACGGG